rfam:Devosia riboflavina strain IFO13584 contig6, whole genome shotgun sequence.
GGAGAGGUGGCCGAGUGGUCGAAGGCACACCCCUGCUAAGGGUGCAGGUCCGGAAGGGCCUCGAGGGUUCGAAUCCCUUCCUCUCCG